rnacentral:sRNA from 1 species
AAUACAAGCAGAUAAUGUUCUUUUAGGGAAAGGUCGGCUAGCCUCGUAAUAAGGAGGUGAUGCCUGUGGGUAUGUAUGAAAGUUUUAUGGUACUAAUUGGAUUUGGUACAUUAUUGAUUGCAUUACUCGCGUUGAUUGUGUCACUGAUCAAUAAAAAAUAGACCUCCCUAUUUACCCUAACAAGUGACUAGGAGAGGUCUAUCGUAUAAGUAGAUAGCCGAUCCCUCUGGGGGAACCGCUUAUCUUCAGGUCACAGGACGGCUGUGACCU